rnacentral:rRNA from 1 species
UUAAGUUAGAAAGGGCGCACGGUGGAUGCCUUGACACUAGGAGUCGAUGAAGGACGGGACUAACGCCGAUAUGCUUCGGGGAGCUGUAAGUAAGCUUUGAUCCGAAGAUUUCCGAAUGGGGAAACCCACCAUACGUAAUGGUAUGGUAUCCUUAUCUGAAUACAUAGGGUAAGGAAGACAGACCCAGGGAACUGAAACAUCUAAGUACCUGGAGGAAGAGAAAGCAAAUGCGAUUUCCUGAGUAGCGGCGAGCGAAACGGAACAUAGCCCAAACCAAGAGGCUUGCCUCUUGGGGUUGUAGGACAUUCUAUACGGAGUUACAAAGGAACGAGGUAGACGAAGCGACCUGGAAAGGUCCGUCGUAGAGGGUAACAACCCCGUAGUCGAAACUUCGUUCUCUCUUGAAUGUAUCCUGAGUACGGCGGAACACGUGAAAUUCCGUCGGAAUCUGGGAGGACCAUCUCCCAAGGCUAAAUACUCCCUAGUGAUCGAUAGUGAACCAGUACCGUGAGGGAAAGGUGAAAAGCACCCCGGAAGGGGAGUGAAAGAGAUCCUGAAACCGUGUGCCUACAAAUAGUCAGAGCCCGUUAACGGGUGAUGGCGUGCCUUUUGUAGAAUGAACCGGCGAGUUACGAUCCCGUGCGAGGUUAAGCUGAAGAGGCGGAGCCGCAGCGAAAGCGAGUCUGAAUAGGGCGUUUAGUACGUGGUCGUAGACCCGAAACCAGGUGAUCUACCCAUGUCCAGGGUGAAGUUCAGGUAACACUGAAUGGAGGCCCGAACCCACGCACGUUGAAAAGUGCGGGGAUGAGGUGUGGGUAGCGGAGAAAUUCCAAUCGAACCUGGAGAUAGCUGGUUCUCCCCGAAAUAGCUUUAGGGCUAGCCUUAAGUGUAAGAGUCUUGGAGGUAGAGCACUGAUUGGACUAGGGGUCCUCAUCGGAUUACCGAAUUCAGUCAAACUCCGAAUGCCAAUGACUUAUCCUUAGGAGUCAGACUGCGAGUGAUAAGAUCCGUAGUCAAAAGGGAACAGCCCAGACCGCCAGCUAAGGUCCCAAAGUGUGUAUUAAGUGGAAAAGGAUGUGGAGUUGCUUAGACAACUAGGAUGUUGGCUUAGAAGCAGCCACCAUUUAAAGAGUGCGUAAUAGCUCACUAGUCGAGUGACUCUGCGCCGAAAAUGUACCGGGGCUAAAUACACCACCGAAGCUGCGGAUUGAUACCAAUGGUAUCAGUGGUAGGGGAGCGUUCUAAGGACAGUGAAGUCAGACCGGAAGGACUGGUGGAGUGCUUAGAAGUGAGAAUGCCGGUAUGAGUAGCGAAAGACGGGUGAGAAUCCCGUCCACCGAAUGCCUAAGGUUUCCUGAGGAAGGCUCGUCCGCUCAGGGUUAGUCAGGACCUAAGCCGAGGCCGACAGGCGUAGGCGAUGGACAACAGGUUGAUAUUCCUGUACCACCUCUUUAUCGUUUGAGCAAUGGAGGGACGCAGAAGGAUAGAAGAAGCGUGCGAUUGGUUGUGCACGUCCAAGCAGUUAGGCUGAUAAGUAGGCAAAUCCGCUUAUCGUGAAGGCUGAGCUGUGAUGGGGAAGCUCCUUAUGGAGCGAAGUCUUUGAUUCCCCGCUGCCAAGAAAAGCUUCUAGCGAGAUAAAAGGUGCCUGUACCGCAAACCGACACAGGUAGGCGAGGAGAGAAUCCUAAGGUGUGCGAGAGAACUCUGGUUAAGGAACUCGGCAAAAUGCCCCCGUAACUUCGGGAGAAGGGGUGCUUUCUUAACGGAAAGCCGCAGUGAAUAGGCCCAAGCGACUGUUUAGCAAAAACACAGCUCUCUGCGAAGCCGUAAGGCGAAGUAUAGGGGGUGACACCUGCCCGGUGCUGGAAGGUUAAGGAGAGGGGUUAGCGUAAGCGAAGCUCUGAACUGAAGCCCCAGUAAACGGCGGCCGUAACUAUAACGGUCCUAAGGUAGCGAAAUUCCUUGUCGGGUAAGUUCCGACCCGCACGAAAGGUGUAACGAUUUGGGCACUGUCUCAACCAGAGACUCGGUGAAAUUAUAGUACCUGUGAAGAUGCAGGUUACCCGCGACAGGACGGAAAGACCCCGUGGAGCUUUACUGUAGCCUGAUAUUGAAUUUUGGUACAGUUUGUACAGGAUAGGCGGGAGCCUUUGAAACCGGAGCGCUAGCUUCGGUGGAGGCGCUGGUGGGAUACCGCCCUGACUGUAUUGAAAUUCUAACCUACGGGUCUUAUCGACCCGGGAGACAGUGUCAGGUGGGCAGUUUGACUGGGGCGGUCGCCUCCUAAAGUGUAACGGAGGCGCCCAAAGGUUCCCUCAGAAUGGUUGGAAAUCAUUCGUAGAGUGCAAAGGCAUAAGGGAGCUUGACUGCGAGACCUACAAGUCGAGCAGGGACGAAAGUCGGGCUUAGUGAUCCGGUGGUUCCGCAUGGAAGGGCCAUCGCUCAACGGAUAAAAGCUACCCCGGGGAUAACAGGCUUAUCUCCCCCAAGAGUCCACAUCGACGGGGAGGUUUGGCACCUCGAUGUCGGCUCAUCGCAUCCUGGGGCUGUAGUCGGUCCCAAGGGUUGGGCUGUUCGCCCAUUAAAGCGGUACGCGAGCUGGGUUCAGAACGUCGUGAGACAGUUCGGUCCCUAUCCGUCGUGGGCGUAGGAAAUUUGAGAGGAGCUGUCCUUAGUACGAGAGGACCGGGAUGGACGCACCGCUGGUGUACCAGUUGUUCUGCCAAGGGCAUAGCUGGGUAGCUAUGUGCGGAAGGGAUAAGUGCUGAAAGCAUCUAAGCAUGAAGCCCCCCUCAAGAUGAGAUUUCCCAUAGCGUAAGCUAGUAAGAUCCCUGAAAGAUGAUCAGGUUGAUAGGUUCGAGGUGGAAGCAUGGUGACAUGUGGAGCUGACGAAUACUAAUAGAUCGAGGACUUAACCAU